rnacentral:rRNA from 1 species
GACGAACGCUGGCGGCGUGCUUAACACAUGCAAGUCGAACGGAAAGGCCCUGCUUUUGUGGGGUGCUCGAGUGGCGAACGGGUGAGUAACACGGGAGUAACCUGCCCUUGACUUUGGGAUAACUUCAGGAAACUGGGGCUAAUACCGGAUAGGAGCUCCUGCUGCAUGGUGGGGGUUGGAAAGUUUCGGCGGUUGGGGAUGGACUCGCGGCUUAUCAGCUUGUUGGUGGGGUAGUGGCUUACCAAGGCUUUGACGGGUAGCCGGCCUGAGAUGGUGACCGGCCACAUUGGGACUGAGAUACGGCCCAGACUCCUACGGGAGGCAGCAGUGGGGAAUAUUGCACAAUGGGCGGAAGCCUGAUGCAGCAACGCCGCGUGCGGGAUGACGGCCUUCGGGUUGUAAACCGCUUUCGCCUGUGACGAAGCGUGAGUGACGGUAAUGGGUAAAGAAGCACCGGCUAACUACGUG